rnacentral:rRNA from 1 species
CAGCCGCCGCGGUAAUACGAAGGGGGCUAGCGUUGCUCGGAAUGACUGGGCGUAAAGGGAGCGUAGGCGGAUCGUUAAGUUGGGGGUGAAAGCCCGGGGCUCAACCUCGGAACUGCCUUCAAUACUGGCGAUCUUGAGUAUGAGAGAGGUGUGUGGAGCUCCGAGUGUAGAGGUGAAAUUCGUAGAUAUUCGGAAGAACACCAGUGGCGAAGGCGACACACUGGCUCAUUACUGACGCUGAGGCUCGAAAGCGUGGGGAGCAAACAGGAUUAGAUACCCCUGUAGUCCCUGUCUCUUAUAC